AGAGAAAUGGUCUGUUGGCGAUGACAUUUGAGGUUGAUUUUUUUUUUACUUGAAAGGCCAAAUUGUUUUUAGGGCUCACUUCGUUCCUUGUCUUGUGAAUGUGGGAGAUGGGAAGGCAGGCUGGGAGGCCUCAGGGGAGCAAAGUAUGACGUCGAGAAUAAUCUCUAAAAGUUGGUCAAACUGUUCGGAGAAAUCAUCAGACAACACUGCAACCAAUUUUGGACGAGAUGGGAGGAAACUUCUGCGAUGUUCAAGACAGUCUGACAGUCAAUUACCAGGAUAUUUUUCUCCUUCCUUUUGAGUAUAGAUCCGCAAUUCCAAUCCCGGAUUUGAAAAGGGGACCAUUCCAGCGGGUGAAUUCCUCCAAUAUCUCGUGUUUUUCUUUUUUUUUUUAACUGGCAGACCCAUGGGGUUAAAAUCCUGCAAGCCUUGCAACUCCUGCAUGCAAAGUAAGGAGGAAUGCGGACCAGCUGGUGGCCGCUGGUGUGUGUGUGACAACUGGAGAUAUUGCUCUGAACACUGCUGUGACAUCUGCUGCCAGAUGUGCGUGGACGUGUGCUCUGGCUUGUGUUCAGGAGACUGCAGCUACACCUUCUGUACCCUUUGCCUCGGCCUGGCACAGCGCUGUGUCUCAUUCUUUACCACCCGACCAGCCGACCAAGCAUCACAGAAGCUAUGAUGGGUCCGGCACGGAAUGCCUGAUGGAACAUGUGACCAAAGCCACGUUGACGCGCUGAUUCAAGAACACCAGAGACUGACAGACGCACCUGCAGAGGAAGGAAAGGGCUCUCCCUCUCCCUGCCUUUCUGCAGACCCGUAGGUCCACUGUGAGCCAGAGACAUCUCAACAUGCUAAAAGAGACAUCAAGCCAAACCGGGAGCUGCAAACACCUACAACUUGGGCUCAAUCUGGGUUGCCCUGCAGAUCUCUGCUCUGCUGACUCGGCCGUUGACAAACAAGGCUCUAAAGAACCAACCUGUAGAACAACAACUAGCUGAAGACUUUUUCCACAACUAGACACAACAGUAGACAGAUAUUAAAAGAAAAAACUUUCAAAUGACAUUUUUAAAUGGGAAAAGAUGCUAUUAUGAGCCCUGCGGCCUCAAUGUGGGACGGUUAGAUGAUUCAGCAUCAAACUGUGACCAGAUGGAAGAAUGCCAUCCAAAACAAACCAUAACAUUAAACCAGGUUGAGAAGUCCCCUAGAGGGAAACUACCGUGGAUUUUACCGAUGUGAACAAGAUUAAUGUUAGUAAACCACAAAAUAUCUGAUUUCAGAUACUAGUUGGUAGAAUAAUUAAUAUAUUAAUCGACUGAUCAAUGUGCUUUAGACCAAUAUUAUCCCUUGAAUUUGAACUAUUAUGAAAUGCAUAUCAAACUCAACUUCUGAAAGGUGCAUCCAUCUUUUAAAAAUACAUUUAGUUGAUAAACGUCAAAUGAAAAAUGUAAUUGAUAAACAAUAAAUUAUUUGAGUGACGGAUGCACCUGGUCACAUGGCCAUUCAUACUCGGCCAUCUUAUUCCUCAUGUAUUUGCUUGUUUAGUAGUUUAGUGUUAAGUUUACAUGUCAAUACAGAUUUCCUCUAUAUAGAGCGUUUUAUUAGCACAGUAUUUGCAUGAAAUGAUCAAUGGGCAUAUUAUUGUUAAAUAUUUUGAUAAUGAUUUUUUUAGAACCACUACCUGAUUUUCAAUAUUGACUAAUACAUAUUAUUCAAUAUUCUUAUAUUACUACUACUACUACCAAUAACUGAUGUGUAUUUAAAUAAAUAAGUAGAAAAUAGGAAAUUAUAUUUUUAAAAUCUCUAGUAUUUUGUGUCAGUGAUUAAUGUGUUAUUGUCCUUUUUUGUUAACACUGAGUCUUAUUCUUAUAGAGUGUGGAAUAUUCCUGAAUAAACGACACCCUAUCUUUAGAAAGCCUUUUCUCAUGGGGCUUGCCUUGAAAGAUGUGUUCAUUUACAAUCAGCAGAACAUGAGAACACGCCCAAUAAUAGAAACUCAGGGCAAGGCCCCAAAUGACUUGAGGAUCUAUACCUCAAAAAACGUGUAGUAGGAAGAACAGAAUUCAAGAUCUUGUAAGGUUUUUUUUUUCACACCUUUGGUGUCAUUCAUCUCUCUUUUUCUUUCUUGCCUCUUUGUGUCUGAGUGCAUUUCUCUCUCCCCUCGCUCGCUGUGCCUCUUCUCUUCUCUUGAAAUCCAUCGCUGUUACCGAAUGUCUCCGGGUAAUGUGUGGAGAAAGCCAUUGUGUUGCUGCUGUCAGUCAACUAGAUUACGGCUCAGGUGGAUCCUUAUUGCUCACCCUCCAAAAAUAAGUAUGCCUCCUCACUUUGCAGGCCAAAAAUAUCUGAAGAUGUCUGUUUUCCCCCCGUUUUGGGACGUUCUUGCACAAACAACGUGAAUGGCGGGAUUGGAAGACUCAAUCGCAAUUUGAUUCAACAAAGCUUUGAUCAACGAAUCCUUUACACACGUAGUAACCCUGAAGUUGUAGAGAUCUAUAAUUGGACACUCUAUAUGAAGCAGGUAGUGGUUCUAAAAAGUCCAAAAAAAGGGCUGAUAGUGUGUGUCCAAUCUUAGUUGUGAGCAUGGAGGUGGGUUGGUUUCAUGGUCUGUCUCUAUGCCCUCCUGCUGUGUGCCAGGUCUUGAGAUACUAGAGAUGCGCGCAGAUGCGACCAGCUGAAGAUUUGGGCAGGUAAGGGGCAAUUAGUUUUUUUUUUUUAGCUGAAAUUGGAUUUUAUUUUUGUCCGCCCUGAAACCACCAUCUUUUCCCGCAACACAGUCCUCCCACUCAAUUUCCAUCUCACCGUGCUGAAAUUGGAGUGAUAUAAAGAUGUGAGCUGUAGAUGGAGAAAACAGUCAGAGGUGGUUUAAAAAAAGGAGGGCAAGGGAAUGGCAAAAGAUGCAAAAGGCGAGAUACAGGGGCUAGAGUGAGAUGGAGAGCUGACAAGGUGGCUGCACACAGAUUUCAGCAUUUCCAGUGCACGCGAGCAAAUAUCUUGACCAUAUUUCUUAUAAUAGCUUUUACUUGUGUGGAGAAACAAACUUUGUAGCUAUCACGAUCCGGUAGGUUAUCUACUUUAAGCUGUUUCCUUCUAGCUUCAAAAUAUAAACUACUGAAAUGAAACGCAUAAAUUAACUUAAGUAUUCAAAAUGUGGGUGAAAUGAAACAAAAGUCAGCCCUGCCUGAUCCCUGGCGGAUGGACAGAGACACUCAUACGCGCGUGACGGAGACCUUGCUCAUCUUGGAUGCGUUACACGUUGAUAGCGGAAUGGUCAAACGGAUUCUCUGUACUUCAAAUGCAUACCAAGUCCCCUUUUUGUGGAGUCUACAAUGAUAACCAUUAAAGGAGAUUCACCGACAUGCAUAAAAUAUGUGGGGGAAAAUCUUGAGCUCAAAAGUAAAGAAAGAAAUUAAUGAAUAGAAAAAGGCCCUAAUGGCAAAGUUGGGACAAGUCGCGUUCAGUUGGUUUGCAUUCAUAAUGCAUGAUCCACGGCACGUCAUCCAGCAUUAGCAGGAAAUCAGAUUCCGGCCUUCCUCCAAAGACAUUAUAGGUGAUGGGGUUGUUACUGAAAACAUAUGAAUAAUAGAUUCAGAUGCAGGUGAAUAGCUACAAUGAUUUGGGAGGAUUAAUUUUGUGAACAGCAUUUUUAACAGUUAAAGGGGGGGAUUUGGAUGGCAGGUGUAUUAAAGCAAUGAGUUCAGUAAUUGGGUCCUAGUACUUCCAGCCCCAACUGAAAUGCAAACAUUCCAGUAAUACAGAAUUAAUAGUGCAUUUCGGGACGUUGCAUUGGAAGAAAUUGAGGCUAGAAAGAUGGAAAUGAAAACUUUGCAGAGGAUUUGCAAGAUAGAGAACGGUUGUUCAUAUGUUUUGCAUGAAUGAGGGUCAGAGUUCAGCUACUGGAUGAAGCCUCAGAAGCCCCACUUCCGUCACAUCAAUGGACACUGAUAAUAGCAAAGUCAAUGUUUGUUUUUUAUACAUUUUCUUGUGUGUGGUAAUUUAGUUUGCAAGUUUACCAGCCUGUUGUAAUGAAUUGCUGAAAAAAAGGCUUGACCCCAGUGUGGGCAAACCUCUGGCAAAUUAUAUGCUGAUUAAAUGUCAGUGAUCAUGUUCAAUCUGCUAGGGCAGCUUUAGUGGUAUUCUUGACAUCCACGUGCAUUUUAACAAAUUGUGCCGGGACUGAUGUCACUGUUGAGACAGACCCUUGCAAGAAUAAAACAAAAUGAACCUGAACAAAACUCCAUUUUCACAAUCAAUAUGAACCACUUCACAGGAUAACAUGAUUCACAAACUUGUCUCUUUGGUAAUUGGCAUCCAAAAGCAGCCGGUUUCUUUUAGUCUGUUAAGGACAUCAGUAUGCUGAACACAUGCACAAACCGCUAGAUGGUUGCCAGCUAAGCCUUCUCUGCAAUCACAGCAAACACAAACAGAAUCAAAAAGUUAUCCCUGUGUUAUUAUUUAUUUUCAUUUUUUAUAAAUGCACUUCAUGAAUAACAAUUAUUCAUCCCAUUAGUUUAUUUGCUCAUUGCACAGCUCCUUUCGUCCGCUGUUUCUCUGCUCCCAGUGCAGCUGGUUUUAAGAGCUUUUACCCAAUCAGAUUCAGCCCCCAUGGUUCCGUGUAAGUGAGGCCGGAGGUCCUCCAGACUCUUGAUUCUAAACUCUGCAUAUUAAAGUAUAUGAGGAGAUAUUGUUGAUUUUUAGUGAACUGCUUUUGUGUUUUUACAUCGUCAGUAGCGUGUUAAUUUGUCUAUCGUGUUGUUAUAGUUAAUAUCGUUCCUUCUGAUUUAAAUAAUAAUUUUGAAUUCUGUGUGCAGCGUUUUAGUGCCACAGUUUUGAUAGAUUGUCUUGUCAUGCUUUGUUGUAAAUAAAUGUGACUGGUUCUUGUGA